rnacentral:lncRNA from 1 species
UGAUGUCUGGAUGUGGUAUAAUGAUACCUGCUAUCUAAGGUUUACCGAGAACAAAUUCUAUGGAAUAGUCGAUCCAUCUACCUUUACCAACUUCUUCCUAGGUGAUCAUCCACAACAUCCCACUGCUUUCAAGAAACAGCUAGAUGCACUUAUAAGUAAGGUCAGCUCGGAGGCUAUUGUGCCUGCAAAUGAAGCGGUUGGCAAGGGAAGCAGUUUCAGCGCCGCAUCUAAUGCUACUAUUUAUGCCUUGGCCCAGUGCACCAGGGAUUUGUCCCAACAUUCUUGCAACGAGUGUCUGAACACAGUCACUGGCAACUUACUCAAAUUCUGCAAAAACGAGAAAACUGUAGGAUGUCGAGUUGCAUCUACCGGCUGCUAUGUUCAUUAUGAAACAUAUCAGUUUUACUAUCCUCUUGAUUUGUGAGAGCCCUUGUCAGUGUAACAAGAAAUAAAAUUCCUCCAGAGUUCACUAAACCUUGACCUAAAGGUUGAUGCCAAAGAGGAGUCAAAUCAAGAAAUUGUAUUCUGUACCGUAUUCUUCACAUCUCUCUGUAUCUCUUAUUUGAUUUACUACGUGUGAUUUACAUGUCUGCAAAUAAAUGGAAAGAUUAUAUUAAGGCAAACACUAACUAAAGUACGUAAGACCUUAUUUUUUUCCCUUUUGGGAGAAUUGAAAGUUACAAAUUUCGUGGAUUUCUCGUUUGCCAUGUAUAAAAUCUCUCUUUAUUCUAUUUCUUUUUCAAAGCAAACCUAUAAAGUUUACUCCCAAAAGCAGUGUUUUGAAAUCCGGUUUGAAUCGGCUGGUUCGACCAGUCAGACCGUAAAUCGAUCAUGACUCCAAUUCGAUUCAUACUUUAAGUUGAUUGGACUUAAGAAUCGGUGAGAAUUAUGUAAACCGUGCAAACUGUUCGUAUCGAAAUGAACCAUUGAACCGGCAAAUUUUUUAUUUUUUAUUUUUGCCUAAUAAACUAAAAAGAAAAGUGAAUAGAUUCUUAUUAACUCCAAAGACUAGUCACUAAGUACCACACUCACUAACUCCCUUCUCAUCUUUUUCUUCUUAUCGAAUUUUCAUCUCUACUUUCUAGUUUCCUGAUUUCAUCUAGCCUCUAAGUUUUUUAAUUUUUUAAAACAAAUUUGCAAUCUUUAACCCCCUAAGGCAUGGUUUAAAUUCACAAUGUCUAAUUCUUAAAGACAUGAAUUUUAUUUAAUUUCAGAAUAUUGUAGUAUUCUUGGGUAGGAUUUAAGAUUAUAUUUUAGUAGAUACAAUUGAGAUGAAAGUUAUUUGUUUAAACUUAUAAUUUCAAAAAUUUAUUUGUGAAAGUUGAUAUUCUUUGAAAAUAUUAAACUUUUUGUCAAACAAAGUCUCAAAUUAGUCCAUUGAAAAUCUUAUUUUGCACAUAUAUAUAUAUAUAUAUAUAUAUAUAAUUUAUUUUUAAAAAAUUCAUUGAACUGGUAAUGAACUGAUCCGACUAAUUGAAUUGCAAUCCGAAUAUUUCAGCGAUUCAAUUAAUGGUUUGACUUUCAAAUCAUUGUCCAAAGAAGGUCAGUGAGAGACUUAGAAAGUCCAAAGUCGAAACAAAGAAAAUUGGAUUCAUCUUGCGCAAGCCCAACUGUAUUUAAAUUGGGUUUGUUGCACGUGAUAUUUGUCCAAUUUGUUGUGGCCAUUAUUAAUCCAAAGUAAGUCCAAAAGGCUUUCACUAGCCUAUUUUAAGGCCCAUCUGGCGUGUGCUGCCUGGAAUUUCGGCGCUUUUGUUCUUGCAGGCAAAUACACGGGAUGAAAAAGGAAAUGAACCUCAUUUUUUUUUAAAUCUGGUGUUGCCCAGUGCACCAGACGAAUCUUUUAUACCUUGCAAAUUUUCGCAAGAAAUGAUUAAGCAUGUUUUUCAUCCGAUGCUUUGAAAUGAUUAAGCAUCUUAUAAACUCUAGGAGGGAAAAGACGUAAGUGAAAAGUCUCGAAUUCGAGUCUUAUAAUUUAUAUAUAUUUUUUAAAAAUUUUUUUAAAAAGUUCAAGUAAAAAAGAAUAAAUUUUAUAAAAUCUUCGGCCUCAUACAUUAUUCUGCUUCUCAAAAUUUUCCUUCUCCUCCUCUCUUACCAAAAUGUAGAAAUCGCCCCUAAUUUCCUCAUAACAAAAUAAUCUCCCUUUGCACCUGUGCUAGCCAUUUUUUCAUGGGUUUUCUGAUUAACCUCCUCUUACUAGAAAAUUAUCUUAAUUACCCAUUUUACUCUCCUUAAAGGCAAACAUACCUAUCUUAUAAUGCCACUGUUUGUGCCGUUUUCAACAAAUGGAAAAAAAAGAAAAGAAAAAAAGAAAUAAUGAAAAAGAAAAAUAAUAAAUUGUAAAAUCCAUUCCACAUUAACAAAUGCACUAUGACUUUCAUUAAAACCCAUUAUCAUUGAUCACGAUACCGAUAGUGAUAAUGAUUGUAGAAUUUGAACCCAACGGCUCCUUAUUUAAAAUUGUACUGGUCGGAGAUUCUUAGUAUUGGAAAAUCAAACACGUUGGAAAAUACUUUGUAGUUUGGCGUUGAAUUUGCCAUGAGAACUCUUCAGGUUAGCUGUGACGACUGGAAAAUUCGCUCAUAUUUUUUUAAAAUUUUUUCUUAUUUUGAUUAAAUUUUUUUAUAAUAUCUUUACUACUUAUUUACUCUCUCAAUAGUUGUAAGAAAUAAUCGAAUUAAGAGUUUUGUCAUUAAUUUUAUAGUUAGGGCAAAUUAGGGUUUUCGCGUAUUUUGUUAGUGUGAUUAAUUGGUGAGAUUUGUGUACUAAAUUUGGUGGAUAAAAGUGAGUAUUAGGUAAGGGAAAAUGUGUGAUUAGAGGUGCUAAUAAUAAGGUAGUGAAUUAUAAGUUAAACGUUAGUACGUGCGAGUUAAAUAAAAUCGACUUGAACCGACGUGUACCGUUUGCUACCAAAUGAGUACACCACUUGAAUAUUAUUUUAUUACCUUACUCAUCUUGGUUUUAUUUCAGCUAAUUACCCCUAAAAUAUUCUAUAAAACAGCCACCAUUUUUUACCAAAAGAAAAGGAAGAAAGAAAAAAAACAAAAGGACCAAUGGUGGCUUGACAAGUGUUGGGCAACCAAGUUUGACCAACAAAUUUCCUAUUUUCUUAGCUUUGUUUUGGACCAAAAUUCCUGCACUUUUUUCUUCAUCUUAGCCGUGAGUUUGGAGAGGGAAAAGAGAGGAGAGAAAACUCCAUUUCCACCAUAACAACCUUGCUUGAAUCUUGAGAAAAGUAAAGUGAAACCUGAAUCCACUCCGAUUAAUCUUUGGAAAAGUUUCGAGGUGAGUUUGGUGGAACUUUUGGGAUGAAGAAAGUUCUUGUAUCAUAACUUAUUUUGGGGGUUUUGAGGUAUUAUACUGGAACCUCUCUUGUUUCUUGCUUAUUUUGCAAUUUAAGCAAAACAUGGCUUGAUUGCGAUGGAUUGUAUGGAAGAUUUCAUAGUUUGGCUUAUUAGCUUAUAAUUUUUAGUUAGGGUUUGAAAUUUUCAGUUGUGAUUAUUGUUGUUUAUCUAGUAUAUGAUGUUGAUGAGCUUGGAUAGGGACUUGGGGUAGUGAUUCAAGACAUGAAUGUUAUUUUAAGCAUUUAAUCAUCAAAUUCCAGCAAGUGUAGUAGAAUCUGCCCUGCUACUGACCUGUAUGUUCGUCCAUGUUAGAGGCCGAAUCAGGUCUUGGUCAAAACAUGAAAGGUGUAGGGAAUGGAGUUAGCUAGCUGCCUGUAAAAUUUCAACUCAAUCGGAGCACUGUAUCAUGUUAAAUGACUAAAAUAUCCUUGACUGCCAAAAGCCCUAUUUCACAGGCAGUUUUCUGUUUUCUCUGAAAUUGCACAUUUUGACCCUGAAAAUGCACGAACUGGGUGGUGAUGUCUUCAUAAGAAUUGUAGAUCUCUGUCUUAGCUUCAAAACUCCAUAAAGUGUACCCCAAUCCGAUAAGCGUAUCUUCAGUUGUGACCAAACCGCCAAAAGACAUCAAACCUGCUGUUUAGCCAUUUGUCUUGAAAAUUGGUUUCCAACUUUGAUUUUUAUAGUUGCAUUGCUAGAAUUGUCUUGUAAUUGGAUGACAUUGAACCUAGUUGAAAGGCUAUUGUAUUAAGAUUGUUUAUGUGUGAAGUUGGGCUAAAUUGAGGAAAAAUAAUGAAGUCAUAAAUGACUGGAAAAUAGCUAAAUACAAAGGGCAUGUUGCCAAAAUUUUCACUCGAGGGUUAGGCAUGUGUACUCGUGACUUGAGCGAAGAUUUGAGGACAAAUUGAACUUGAUUUGUGUAGGGUAUUUGAGUCUACUUUCGUAGAGAUAUAUAAGCUGGAAUUUGGCCGAAACUCGUACCCUUGGAAAAAAUGAAAAUAGCGACCAAUGGAAAUACAUUUUCCUCGUCUUUUUGACUCAAAUGAGAAUUCCAAAGUUUUAAUCACUUCCUUACCAAAACUAAAAGAGUGAGUAUGAGUUUUCUAGGUGUGAUAAGUAAUAUGAAUAUUACCCAAAUGAAUUUCAGUUACUUGAUUUUAGUUAAACGAAACGCUUAAGUUUUGAACCUUAGUUAAUUUCAAAGCUCUUAAACGAUGUUUUAUCUCAGAUUUGGACUCCAACAAAGGAGUUACACCUAAGCGUGAUUUUGACAAACACUAAAUCUUUGAUGAGUACUUCCAAAUACAUGAUUGAACUUGAUAUUUGAUUUACCAAUGUGAUCGGAUAAGAUUUGCUUGGUUUGGUCGGGCCAGUGUGUACUUUAUCACACUUGACAUAACUUAACUAAACACUUGAUAUCUCAUUCAUGCUUGUACAAGUGACUUGAUUUACAUUGACCUGUACUUGUGUUUGUACUUGUGCUUGACUUGUAAGUGCGGAGCGACAGUAUGUACCACACUUGAUACGAGUGGGAGGUACCUCUCAUUCCCGUCUCCGUACUUUUCUCUUGACUAAGUCGAUUGGUCAUCGAUUAUAGUGACUACUUGGGAACCCAAACCCCACUGGCUAGUUAAUCGAGUUGAACCAGCAAGGGCUUGGUCGAUUAGAUAACGAACCAUGGGUAUCUAGUGUUGUCGAGUGGAGUGUUAUCUCCUCGACUAAUCGGUAUGCUCGAAUAUUACCGCCAGUAUUUAGUUAGUGUUCGGGUCCGGUAAGGGAAAUGAAUGGUGGACAGAUUGGUGUUAAGCGAAGCACUAUUGGAUUGGUUACUUUACUUGAAAGUUGACGGAGUGCCAACUAAUACUUGAUCAAGCUCUGGUGAAGCAACGGGAAAUUGGGUUCUGAGAGCCAUCUGUAUCCUUAUACCUUGAUUGUUAUUCGUAGUGUUAUUGUUACUUUUAGAAAAGAAUUUUACACUCGCUCAUUUUGAGAUUUGCUACUUGAACUGUUAUUGCUCACUUUUAAGACUUGUUAUACUCACUACUUUGCUACUUUGAUACGUGAACUUUUAAAUAAUGGUCAACUUGCUAUUUGAAAUCUCACUGGGCUUUUAGCUCAUUCCACACCAUUUGUUUUUCUUACAGGUCGUACGAGCGAGCCGUGAGACUGGUACAGGCUAGCGUAGUCUAGUUUUUUUUUGAAAUUUUGUAAUUGUACUCGCACUAUCGCUCGAUUAGGGUUGAAUGUAUUUAGAACUCCAAUCUUUUGAUGUAUUUGGGGUUGUAUGGAUGUUUGAGAUAGAAAUGAAUGUAUUUGUACUUUCCAAACUUGGUAACUGUUAUUUUCUUUAUUCUUGAGGUUGUACCCUAUUUUAGUUGAAGUGAGUGAGUGAGUCCUGCGAGAGUUGGGCAGGCGGUCCGCUAAAUCUUGAGGUACGCCCUAGGGGGAGGUGGGAUCGUCACAUUAGCUUUGAUCUCACUUAGUACAUUACAAUUUGCCUAUCCAUGUCCCUUAGUACUUGCCCCCAAGACAUUUAAGUCUUGGUAAGGUGGGAGGUCAAGGGCUCAAUUCUUGCCUCCCACCAAAAUUUGUCACAAUAUGUGGCGGUUUUAGUUGACUUUCAUCGAUGGAGUCUAUACUCAUAUCGAGUCCCCUCGCCCUUCCCCUAGAUUAGGUUACAUUAGGUUAUAGAAAUUCUAUUGUUGCGACAAAAAAAAAAAGUCCCUUAGUACCUAGUUGCUGUUGUUUUCUGACGUGCUCCUUUUUUUUGGUACCUAGUAUGAAUUUGUUCAUAAUUGCACUAAUAUUGUUCUACUUCAUAUCUUCACCAUGCACUUUUGUCAGAAUCAUAUAUGCUGAUCCUAAUGCCCCUCUAGUUUUGAUAUUAUAGUUUGAAUCUUUAUAAGUAUAAAUAAAUUCUCUUUGCUACUUCAAAAAUAAGACACUCCAAUUUAAUCUGUCUUUUUGCAUUCCAUCUUUAGUUUUUGUUUCAAUUUAAAAUUCCUGAUUAGUCAUAAUCUAAUCUAAUUUCUAAAUCAUACAAGAUACUACUAUUGAUACUAAAAUAAAGUGCUCUUAAAAAUGGAAUCUUUGUUGUUUGUGCUUUGUGUUAUAUUCGGUCCAAAAACAAAAGAAUAAAAGAAAAUAAAGAGAAAGGAGAACAUCAAUUAUCUCUAACAAUGAAUUUUCAAACAAAAAAAUUGAAUAGUUAUGCAAAAAAAAUUUAUAUAUGGUGAAUGAUUUACAUUCCAUAUUAAUAAAAAUAACACACAAAAGAAUACAAACAGUUGAUCUUGAAAGAUUAUACAUCUUUUUUUUUUUUUUUUGAAAUGCUGUGCACAUAACUACAUAUUAAGGAAUUUCAUUAAGACACUAACAAAUUCAACUCACUUAACAGGAAAAAUAAUAAUGAUAGAACAUGCAAAAAAUUAAAUUUUGUUUAUUUUGAGUUUAGGUUAUCCAACUCUCAAGGUAAAACAAAAACUGUUCAUAUAUUUAUUUCAAAAUCAAACUAUUUUAAUUGUAUUACCACGAUUUGUUUGUUAUGGCACAAAAAGAAAAAGGGAAAACCAGAAGAAGUAAUUAGAGGUAUCCAUAUUGUAUGUACUAUUCAAAAUAUUGAUACUUUUAUCAAAUCAUUUAGUAUUUGGUCAAAAAAUUGUUUCAAACUGUUGAAUUUUUUUAUUUCACUUGAAAGUCCAUUAUGGAUUUUACUUUUACUUCAAAAAGACAAAUUUGUACUCUAGUUUGUUAAUGAUUUGGGGGGGGGGGGUGAAAGAAUGACAUAACAAGUGUGCUAGAAUAAUAAAAAUAAAAUAAGCUGACACAUUGACACUAAUGCCCCUCUAGGUUUUAAUAUUAUAGUUUAAACCUUUAUUACCAUUUAUACAUUCUCUUUGGCUUAAGAAAAGUUUGAAGUCUCAAGUUUGCUACACAAUGUAAUUGUUUAGAAGGGGUUUCGCAAUUGUUCAGGAGUAGAAAUUUUUUCUUAAAUAACCAUGUUCGCAUGCGAAGGCUAAUCCAGUUCUAUCUUUUUGAGCUUUCAUUUGUUUAAUUGGUGUCUGUUGGCAAAUGUAGUUAGACAUUAGAACUUGGAGGUUGAAGUUUUUAAUUAGGACUCUUUUGUGUGUGUUAAUUUGAUUCGGUGUUUUAGAAAGUGCAAUAGUCAAUGAGGGGCAUGUUAGGCAUCACGAGAAAGGAAACAAACACAUUUAUAUUAUAUAGGUAUAGUAGAUAAUAUAUAUUAACCUGUUCAAUGACCCGAAUCCAUGAGCUUUGUACCUAACACAAGCGUGAAUGAAAUUACACAACCUUCUCCUUGGACUUGCUGCCUCUGUUUUGAAACUCGGACCGGACCGGCCGGUCGAACCGGGAACCGGCCAGGUAGCCGGUCCGAGUCUUAUUAAAAAACCGGAAAUUUAAAAUUCGGUCAAAAAUCAGGUUUGACCGGGAAAAAAUCGAUUUUUCCGGUUUAACAGUAAUUUUUUUUAAAAAAAAUUCAAACUUUAUAAUAUUAUGUUUUGACCCCCUAAAUUGUUAAAACUUAUCGAUAUACUUCAAAUAUUUGAUAUUUUAUAAAUAUUGUCCUAAAAUUUGAUGUUAUUUUUCAAUUAAACUCAUAAUUUUAAUUCUAAACUUGUUAAUAUUUAUUAAAUAAUAUAAAUUGCUACUUAAUUGUUCUAAUUUCUUUAUAUUUUCUUGUUAAAUAUAUUUGAAACAUCAAAUAUAUAUGAAUAUACCUUUAUUAAUAUCAAUAUAUUAUUAGAUAUUAUAAAUAUAAUAUUUUAAUUUUUAAAUAAUUUUUAUUUAUGACGUCAUCCGGUUCGACCCCUAUCGACCCCCGGUCGAACCCAUUGACCCCUGACCCCUGACCUUGGCCGAGUCGCUAUCCAGUCUGGUUCUGAAAACAUAGCUUGCUGCAGCAUAACACUGGUUGCAGAUUUCUUGACUCGCUGGUUUUUUUUUUUUUUUUUGUUGGAUAUAAAGCUAGUUUUUUUGAUAGGAUAAUUACUUUGAUUAGCAACCAUUAGCAUGCCAUUUGAACGAAAACCAUGGUUGUGUAGGAUUUGGCUGUGGGGGGUUUUUGCUUGUCUUGUUAAUUCUACUAGUUGGUUUGCUAUCGUCCCUAGUAUUUGAUAUUGGUUUGCCAUCGUCCCUCGUAUUUGAUUUGUAUAAUUAUUAUUAUGGUGCUUUUGGAUGGCCUGAAGCGUGUGGACCUGGCAGAAGCACGGCACCCCCCCCCCCCCCAACCCUGUGGACCGAGAAGAAGUGCAGCAGCCCCUCUCUUUUGCUGUGGCCCUCUCUUUUGCUGGCAGCCCCUCUCUUUUCCUGGAUAAUGCUAGUUGUUUCUUUUAGAUAGGAUUUCCAAAGGAUUGAAUAGUUUACUUUGACCUUGAGAAAAAUCUGCAACAAGUGUCAUGUUCCAGCUAAUCUAGCAAUAGAGACGCGCACAUUAUUAUUUUCUCCUAUAAAUUGGAUAGAAUUUAGAAAGCAAAUGCAACUGCAAAUUGCGAUAACUAAGAUCAGUACAUGAUGGCUUUGUUUCGCCUUGUUCUCUUGCUAUUCCUCAGCAGCUGCACUGCAGUACUUGCAGAUGUUCUCUUUGAUAGUGGGGUUGUUAGCGUUUAUAGUUGCAGUGAAAAUUCAACAAUAGCAACCCCUCAAAUGUCAGCCAACAUCGAUAGCUUGGUGGCACAACUAACAUCAAGCACUUCUCAGAAUCGUUUCAGUGUUGCCACUUAUGGCAAAGGUACAGACCAAGUCUACGGCUUGGGACAAUGCAGAAGAGACGUGAAUAUUAAGGAUUGCGCGAGAUGCCUUCGUAAUGCAACACUAUCCAUUCGCACAUUUUGUGCAAACCGGGCUGAUGUCUGGAUGUGGUAUAAUGAUACCUGCACUCUAAGGUUUCACGACAGCAAAUUCUUUGGAACAGUUGAUCCAUCUAGCUUUACCAACUACUACCUAGGUGAUCAUCCGCAACAUCCCUCUGCUUUCAAGAAACAGCUAGAUGCUCUUAUAAGUAAGGUCAGCUCGGAGGCUAUUGUGCCUGCAAAUGAAGCGGUUGGCAAGGGAAGGAGUUUCAGUGUCGCAUCUAAUGCUACUAUUUAUGCCUUGGCCCAGUGCACCAGGGAUUUAUCCCAGCAUUCUUGCAAUGAGUGCCUGAACAUAGUCACUGGCAACUUACUCAAAUUCUGCAACAACGAGAAAACUGUAGGAUGUCGAGUUGCAUCUACCGCCUGCUAUGUUCAUUAUGAAACAUAUCAGUUUUACUAUCCUCUUGAUUCGUGAGAGCCCUUGUCAGUGUAACAAGAAAUAAAAUUCCUCCAGAGUUCACUAAACCUUGAACUAAAAGGUGAUGCCAAAGAGGAGUCAAAUCAAGAAAUUGUAUUCUGUACCGUGUUAAUCAUUUCUCUCUGUAUCUCUUACAUUUGAUUUACUACGUGUAAUUUACAUGUCUGCAAAUAAAUGGAGAGAUUACAUUAAGGUAAACACUAAUAAAGUACAUAAGAGUUUACAUUCAAAGAAACAAAAUUUCUUUUGAAUUAAUCUUUUAUACACUGAUAUUGUAUACACUAUUAUUAUUGGAUGCAUGAUAAGCCAUAUGAAUUUAAAUUUAAAAUUCAAAUUUUACUCAUAAAUCAUGUAUCCAACCAUAAUCGUGUAUACACUAUCAGUAUAUAUAAGAUUUACUUUUUUUUUAUUCUUUUGGGAGAAUUUGAAAGUUACAAAUUUCGUGAAUUUUUCGUUUGCCAUGUAUAAAGUCUCUCUUUAUUCUAUUUUUUUUUUCAAAGCAAACCUAUAAAGUUUGGAUUAAUUUUUUCUACACUGACAGUGUAUACACUAUCAGCAUUGGAUGAAUGAUAAUCAUACGAAAUUUAAAUUUAAAAUUCAACUUUUACACAUAUAUUAUGAAUCAAAUAGUGAUAAUGUAUACAUUAUCGGUGUAUAUAAGAUUUACUCGUAAAGUUUACUCCCACGAGAGGUCAGUCUGAGGCUUCGAAAGUCCAAAGUCCAAACAAAGAAAAUUUGAUUCAUCUGGAACAAGCCUAGUGUCUAAAUUGGGUUGGUUGUACCUGAUAUUUGUCCAAUCUCUUGUGUCCAUUAUUAAUCCAAAGUAAGUCCAAAAGUAUGGUGGAUCGGAGGCUUUCAUCUAGCCUAUUUUUAAGGCCCAUCUGGCGUGUGCUGUGUGGAAUUUCACCGCUAUAUAUAUAUUUUUUUUGCAGGCAAAUACACGGGAAAAAUGGAAAUGAUCAUUUUUUUUUUCAAAUCUGGUGUUUUGCAGUGCUUGGGACGAAUCUUGUAUACCUUGCAAAAUUUCGCAAGAAAUGAUUAAGCAUGUUUUUCAUCUGAUGUUUUGAAAUGAUUAAACAUUUUAUAAACUCUAGAAGGGAAGAGAGUGUAAGUAAAAGGUCUCGGAUUCGGGUUCUCCAACUUAUAUAUAUAUUAAAAAAAAAUAAAAAAGUUCAAGUAAAAAGGAAUAAAUCUUACAAACUCUAUGGCCUCAAACGUUAUUUUGCUUCUCAAAAUUUUCUCUCUCCUCCUCUUCUCUGACUAAAAUUUAAAAAUUGCUCCUAAUUACCUCGUAACAAUAUAAUCUCCCUUUGCACCUGUGCUUGCCAUCUUUUCAUGGUUAGUGUCUUGGCAAACUAUUCUGUUCUCUGCAUAGUCCAUGAUUUGGAUCAGCAUUAUCAGAUUUUUUUUUUCUUUUUUGGGGUCGAUAUCUUUGUGUUGCAUUGAUCUGGGUUCUUGAAUUCUCGUGUGUGGCCUUUCCCUGUAAUCAACUAUGUGAUUCUUGUUAACUAAAUACUUGAUUUGGGUGAAUGUAGGUUGGUGGGAUGUACAAAGAGAAAUAUAAAUGGCUUACAAGGGGGCUUAUCAGUAUGAUUCCUUUAGGGGGUGUUUGGUAAAUAGGUUUUAACCUCUACUAUGGGUUUCAAAUUCAAUUAUACCCAUUCAUCAUGUUUGCUUGGGGCCAAUGGUAAUAAAUCAAUGGGAAUAAUAGGCCUCUUCUAUGGGUUUCCUGAUUAACCACUUCUCACUAGGGAAUCAUCUUAAUUACCCAUUUUACUCUCUCUAAAGUUAAAAAUACUCAUCUUAUAAUACCACCGCUUGUGCUAGUUUCAACAAAUGAAAAAAAAAGAAAAGAAAAAAAGAAAUAAUGAAAAAGAAAAAUAAUAAAUUAUAAAAUCCAUUCCACAUUAACAACACACACUAUGAAAGAGUUUUCAUCAAAAUCCAUUAUCAUGGAUCACGAUAUCGAUAGUGAUAAUGAUUUUGAAAUUUGAAUCAAAUGGCUCCUUAUUUAAAAUUGUGUUGGUCGGAGAUUCUUGGUGUUGGAAAAUCAAAUAUACCUUCUAGGUUUACGUGAAAUGAGUUCUGUUUGGAAUCUAAAUCCACGAUUGGCGUUGAAUUUGCCAUGAGAACUCUUUAGGUUAGCUUUGAUCUCAAUUAAUACAUGACAAACCAACUAUAUUUAGAGUAGCAUAUAUAUUGAUCCUAAUGCCCCUCUAGUUUUGAUAUUAUAGUUUAAAUCUUUGUAAGUAUAAAUAAAUUCUUUUGCUGCUUCCAAAAUAAGACACUCCUAUUUAAUCUGCCUUUUUGCAUUCCAUCUUUAGUUUUUGUUUCAUUUAAAAUUCUUGAUUAGUCAUUAUCUAAUCUAAUUUCUAAAUCAUCCAAGAUAGUACUAUUGAUACUAAAAUAAAGUGCUCUUAAAACAAUGGAGUCUUUGUUGUUUGUGUUUUGUGUUAUAUUCUAUCCAAAAAUAAAAGAAUAAAGAAAAUAAAAGAGAAAGGAGAAAAUCAAUUAUCUCUAACAAUGAGUUUUCAAAUAAAAAAUUGAAUAGUUAUGCGAAAAAAAUUCAUAUGUGGUGAAUCAUUUACAUUGCAUUAUUAAUAAAAAUAACACACAAAAGAAUACAAAUAGUUGAACUUGAAAGAUUAUACAUCUUUUUAAUUUUUGAAAUGAUGUGUACAUAACUUUAUAUUAAGGAAUUUCAUUAAGACACUAACAAAUUCAACUCACUUAACUUGAAAAAUAAUAAUGACAGAACAUGCAAAUUAAAUUUUAUUUAUUGUGAGUUUAGGUUAUCCAACUCUAAAGAUAAAAUAAAAAGGGUUAUUAUCACUUCACCCCCUUAACGUUAGGUGCCACUAUCAAUUUCCCCUUAACGUUAUUUUUUAGUUACUUUACCCUCAAAACUAACGGUCAAACUUAACGGAGUCUGUUAAUUAAAGUAAAAAGACAAGUUUAGCCCUAAAAGUUAUUAUUACUUUACUUUACUCCUAUAAACUAUAGCCUCACUAUCAAUUUACCCCAUAGAAUUAUUUUUUAGGCAAUUUAUCCCACGGUUCCCACCAUUAAACCAACUUAGCAAGUUAAAAAACUUUAGAGAAAGUACCCUCCUUUUUGUAUAAUAAAAAAAUAAAAAAUUUAAAGUGUGUCUUUUCAUAUUUAGUAUGAAGAAAAAAAAAUCAAAGUAUUAAUCUCUUUCUUCUUGGCAAUCUUAUUAAUAUUAAAACAAAUAGAAAGAUUGGGAGGGGGAGGGAGAGGGGGAGAAAGACAUAGAGAGAGAGAGAGCUCAAUUCUUUUUUUUAUAAAAAAUACAAAUAAGAAAAAAAUAAAUACUUUUAUUAUUUUAAAAUUAUUUUAUUUUAAUGUUUACCACCAGAUUUCAAUCCUAAUCCAAACAAACUUAAAUUAAUACGAUAAUGCUAGACUUUUCUUUAUUAUUUUCUUGGGUAAAUUCCCUUUUGACCCCCUAAACUAUACCCUGUUUCCCACUUCAAUCCCUAAACUUCUAAAUGGGACACUUAAGUCCCCAAACUACUGAAUCCGUCCCAAUUAAGUAUAACCGUUGACGGACUCGACAGAAUCAUCAGGGUUUUCCGAGCGUGCAAAACAAGCGCCGCUGACCAAGGGCAGGGAUGGAAAUUCAGAGAAAAAGUAUAAAAAAAACUGUAAAUAACUGUAUUGAGCACAAAGGAGGGAAAGUUUCCCUCCUUUUAUCAAGCACAAUCGGGUCAAAUAAUUGACCCGAUCCAAUGUAUAAAAGGGACGGAUUGUGCCCUAAUUACCGAAAUGAGGGGUAAGAGUUUCUUGGUCGAGAGCUGGCGGAAAUCUGAAGAUAAGAAAGAAGACCAAGGUGAGAUGGUUAGGGACACAUGCAACUGUGGAAAACAAGCAUUGAUGAUGACAUCAUGGACUGAUAUAAACCCAGGAAGAAGGUUUUGUCGAUGUCCAAAUUACAGGGUGAUUCCAUUUCCAUUAUAUCUGUUUGCAUUUCUUCCCCUAUGGUUUUGAUUUGUAUGCAAUGCACCUAAGUAAACUUGUAUUUACUCUCUCAAUGGUAUUGUUAAUGCAGGAAUCAAAGGGAUGCAGGUAUUGGGAUUGGGUGGAUCCUGAGAUGUGUCAAAGGUCGAAUGAUAUAAUCCCUGGACUGAUAAGAACAAAAAAUAAAUUGGAGGCUGAGAUUGAGAGGUUGCAAGAGAACUCAGAGCUGCAGGAAGCAAAACUAAGAAGGCUGAAGAUGUACUUGUUUGUUCACUGGGUUGUUGCUGUUGUAUGGAUCCUUUUGUUCAACUCUGGGCCAUAAAGGUCAUCAUUGGAGUUUGACAAGAAAAUGUCCAUCUAUGUGGGAAAAGAAGCAACGCUGUAGUAGAGGGAAAAUGGUGCUAUGUAAUUGGGAUGGAAAAGAUGUAAUUUUAUCUCUCUGUAUAAGCUGCGGUUUCUGGUGUAAUGUAGCUAGGCUUGAAGAAGCAGUAGGGGCUGACAUGCUCUUUUGUUUGAACUUUAGGGACCUAAGUGUCCCUAUGUAAUGAAGUAUUGUUUAUAAAUCAUCCGUUUUAUGUAGUUGAGGGACUAAAGUGUCCCAACUUAUUGAACUACUUUUGUCAAUGGAUGAUACACCUGUAAACAUUUGUAAUACCAUCAACUGUUUGACACACGAGAUAAAAAUUGAAAAUAGACUGAAUUUGAUCAUUUAAGAAGAAGGCAUGUUUAGUCUUACACCAAAAGGCAGAAGUUUCACAAAUUUACAAAACAACAGCUGGAAUUUCUUGGUAUUAACAACAUCAUUUGCCAUUUACAAAACAUCAUCUCCCUACAAAGCAACAGAAAUUCACAAAACCCAGCUAAACAUAGAGCUGCACAUUGGCAUUUACAAAACACAACUAUUUUGGAGGCUAAUUUAAAUUUCCUAACUUUGCAGCUUCAUUUGCAUUCUCAUGGAGCUGCACAUUGGCAAUGGUAGUUGAAUGAUUCACGUGACCUGCUGCUGCCUGCAAUGUAGACAGAUUUACACACAUGUUUCCCCUCCAAGUGAAGGGGGUUGGUUGAAGUCGUCCGGUGACACGGCUAGUUGAACCAAGCUCUUCUGUCUGCCUAUCAUCAAUGUAUGAGUCUGGUGGUUUCAUUGUUAUCUCUGGACUGUGUGAAUAAAAUUUGUCACCAAUAUUGGAGUUCAACUACAUGUCACGAGAUAAGAAGUAGUUAAUAGGAGAGUGAACAUUUUCACAUCUCACACAGUAUAAAAACUGAAAUUUCGAAGCACUUACAUGUCCAGAUUCAGUAUUGUUUGAAGCUGUCUCAUAUGGGUUGAUCAGAGAAUCAGUUGCAGCUCUGUUGAGUCCAAGUUCUCCAGUCAUGUCCAGUGAGUUUCUAAAGGUCCAUUGCCUCAGCUUGCAACCUUUUUUUGAAUGGCCAGGUUUCCUGCAAAAUGAGCAUUUUCUUGUGCCCUUGACUGGUUGUUCUCCACCAAUUUUCUGUUGAGUCUGACUUUGAGGAGCAGCCGUGCAGCUCUCUUGUGUACUUAAGUGAGUGACAUUGGGCACAGUUGGACCAGUACUAGUAUGCCCUGUUUCAUUUCUGAUGGCAUCUGUUUGUUGUGUGCUGGUCCCACUAGUUUCAUUAUCCAUAUGCCCAUCUCCUCCCUUUUCUACUGGAGCAGUUUGCUGAUUUUUUUCAGGGCAGCUCCUCCUAUUAUGGCCAUAUUUCUUGCACAGACUACAGCUCAUCUUAGUGCCAACCUUGCUAACUUUGUGAGGUUUAGAUGGAUUCACACAUGACUGCCUGUUCCUAUCUUCAUCUGGUCCCUUUUUUCUCGCCUUUUUUGGCCUUCUAGGUGAUUUUCCAUAUUUUGGAGGCUUCAUUGGUGGUAAAUCUACUGGGGCCCACAGAUUAGGUCCAUUGAUUGGAUUCAACACAGGUUCAUAACUCUUCAUGUAUGUAGUCUUCCAGUAGAUGGGUGCCACAUUUUUUUAUGGCUUGUCACGUCUCCUAUAAAUAGCAGCCACUGCAAGGCCACAUGGGAUUCCCCUCAGUUGCCAUUUUCUACAAGUGCAGGUCUUGCUCCCCAAAUCAACGACAAACUGGUCACCAAAAGGACAGCAUAUCUGAUACUUCAAUGUGCCAGCGUAAUAGCAGAUGCACAUGCAUUGCUCUUUCUUGGCUUCUCAAGCAUGUCAAAAAUUGCUGGACAUAAGAGACCUGACAAAUAAAAGGGCAAAUUAGAUAUUGAACACGGGGUAACUAGAAAGAAGUGCUGAUAAAAAACAGUAAGCAAGUAGCUUAACCUUCAUGUUUGGACAUUGUCUCUCUAUUCUUCUCCAUUCUUUUCAACAAAUAUAAGUAAAUAGUUUGUAACAUGCCUAUGAUAGGCAGUGAUCGUGCCUUUAAAAUAACUGAAUUAAAAGAUUCACACAUAUUAUUAACCAGUAUAUCGCAAUCCAAUCCAGUCUUGAAAUGAGCCCUUGACCAAGAUGUGGGGUCCUUUUCAUCCAACCAUGCAUAUGCAUUCUUUGAUUCUUGCUUCAUCAUCUCCAUUUCUGCUUUGAACUGAGUCAUAUAUGAAGCCCUUGCACAUCUCCAUAGCCUAUCUUUAAGAGCAAGACCUCUAUGCAUUUGCUUGAAAUUAGUGUAAAGGUGUUGGACACAACACCUAUGUUCAGCUUGUGGAAGUUUGUCCCUAACAGCCUGAAGUAGUCCCUGUGCAACACAACACAACAAUCACAUAUGCCACAUUAAUAUCAAUAGUAUAACAUAAAUAGUUAAUGGAUAACAAAUUUAUUAAUUUGUAUUAAUAAAUACUACCUUCUGUUUGUCAGUCAUAAUGCACCAGCAACUAGAGUCUUCAAUUUUUAAAUAUUGUACAAGCAAUCCUAAAAACCAACUCCAGUUAUCAUAAUUCUCUACCCCAACAACUGACAUUGCCAAGGGAAACAUUUUGUUAUCACCGUCCAUUCCAACUGCUGACAAAAGCUGCCCACCAUAUGGACCUUUUAGGAAGCAACCAUCUAACCCAAUCCAUUUUCUACAACCAGCUAAAAAACCUCUCUUUAUUGGUUCUAAGCAUAUAUACAGCCUUCUAAAUCUAGAAACACCAUCUUCAUCUACAUCAGUCUCAACAAACACAGUAGAUCCCGGAUUUGCCCUCCUCAAUUCACCACAAAAUAAUUCCAACAUGGUGUACUGUUUGUCAUGGGAUCCCUGAAUAGUGUCUCUAACUUUUCUAAGUGUUCUAUAUCCUUGCUUAAGGCUGAAAUCAACAUUUAACUCCUCAGUUACUUUGGUCAUCAACUCAUGCACUGUCAUAGAUGGCGUUUUCCUUACCUCAUCAACAAAUAGUUUGCUAGCCAACCUAGGUGUCAUGUUUUUAUUGUGGAACACUCUUCCACAAGUGUGCUCAUCACUAAGUGUUUUUAUCUGAAAGGUAUUUUCAUCUUGCAUUUUAGACCCAAAUAGCUGCCAGUCACAACUUCUGCAUUUCACUCUCACCCUCCGUGUAUCAUUUUUCUUGAAAUACACAUCUCUCCCAUCCAUAAUUGCUUGGAUUCUUACAGCCAACCUGAAUAUAAUGACUGAUGUGAACUUCUGACCAACUUCAAACUUUGAUUUCUUCAUGUCUGUUUGCUCAUUAAAAACUGGAAAUUUAGUCCUCCUUGUCUUACUAUUCCCAUCUUCAUCGGAUUCACUUUGACUCUUCAAUUCAAAUGAAUCAUCCGAGUCAUAUUCUGAUUCAAUGUCAUCAAUGUUAAUCAUAUCCGGGUCAUCACAGCAGUUAAUUUCAAUGGGUGGGUCUCUCUUCCUUCCUGCCUUCUUCUUUCUUUGCUCACUGCAAUGAGAAGGACCAGGUUUAUUGCAAUGCGAAUGGCCAGCUGAAUGUGCACCUAGGUCUCCUCCAAAUGUUUGACCAAUUUUGAUGGCUUCAUCUAAUAUGUCAUUGUCUCUCCCUUGAUCCUCAUAGUCUGAAUCAGCCAUCUUCUCAUCAACAUUGACUCCAUUUUCUUCCUCUUCUUGUCUGGCAGCAUCACAUUCUGUUUCCCCUACACCACCUUCAUUGCUGGCUGUGUUUUGUGCAUUUUUAUUACAAUUUUUACUUUGGUCAUCUUCUUCUCUGACUUGUGCAUUCGAAGCUUCAUCACAGCCUUUAACAUCUUUUUGUUCCUUUGCAGCAUCACUUCUAUUAUCAGCUUUCUUUUCUAUCAAAUUUUUAGUUUCAGUCGCUUUGCUUCAUAUUCUGCUUCAUCUUCAGCAGCAACACUAUAAAAUUCCUCACUUUCUGGUUCAACAUCAGCACCUUUUGCGUGCUUGUCUACAGUUUCUGGUGCUACUUCAAUACUUUCUGGUUCAACAUCAAGACCUUUUGCUUGCUUGUCUGCAGUUUCUGGUUCUACUUCUGGCCCAGUACUACAGGGUGCUGCAGCCUGUGGACAACCUUGUGACAAAACUCCAAGAAACACUUCUGCCACCCUAUGUGGUGGUAAUGUGUUCACCAUCAUCUCACAAUCCCUAUCACACAUACAAAAGACCAAGCUUGUAUCCAAUGUCAUCCCUGGUAGCAGAUAAUACCACCCAAAACGAUCUUCUGCAUCAUACCCAAGACGAACUCCACAUUUGUCUAGAGCUACUAAUGACCACAUUUCUGGGUUGCAUCUAUCUAUAAAAUCAACCUGUCCCCCUAUAUACUGUUUGUUAGGAGAGUUUGUGAAGGUCCUUUGAUGGUGUAUCUUUAAGGAGAAAGGUUCAGGCCAAGUUCCACUAUCACCAUUUCCUGGUUCAAAGAAAAAAAAUUUUAAUUCAAUAAUUAAUUUUUUUACACCUUUUACAGUGGAUCGGGGACCACAAUGUCUGAAAUACAGGGAACAUUACGGUUUGAACAGCAUAAACAUUGCCUUAAAAAAUAGGGUAACAUACAGAGGUCAAUCUGGCCCUUUUUACAUUAUACAAUAUCACUACAAAACCUAACCGACAACACAGCACAAUAACCCAACUACUAUAUACGCUAUUAUCCAACAAGCAAAUAAUGGCAUUUUAAUAUCAUUUCUCUUACCGGGAGUGGCCUUUCUCUUCUUGUUCUUCACUGGCGACCUCAUUUCUCCAUCGGCCCUCUUCAAUGUCGAUCUUGACUUUCCCAUUUUACAAUGCCAGUCACCUCUAACUCACGGUCACAAGAAUGUCAAGGGUAUAGAUUAGUAGAAAUCUGCUAACUUCGUUCACACCGUCCCUCUCUCUCUGUGUGCAACUCCACGGUGAAGACGACGGGGUCAAAGAUGCUUCCCUCGAUUUUCUUUUCCCCUUAUACCUAACGGGCGAAAUUACAAUUAUAUCCUGGCUAUUUCAGUUUUCAUGGCGUAUCUAGUCUCACUAACGGCGCUUGUUUUGCACGCUCGGAAAACCUUGAUGAUUCUGUCGAGUCCGUAAACGGUUAUACUUAAUUGGGACGGAUUCAGUAGUUUGGGGACUUAAGUGUCUCAUUUAGAAGUUUAGGGAUUGAAGUGGGAAACAGGGUAUAGUUUAGGGGGUCAAAAGGGAAUUUACCCUAUUUUCUUUGCAAAAUCUAGUUUUCUGUCUCCUUCUUUCCUAUCACUUUUUCUUUUUCUAAUAUUAAUAAGUGUGAAAAAAGAAAUUUGAGAAAAUUCAUUUAUUUUUAUAUUUUUUGAUCUCUUAAAGUGAAAAAAAAGAAGAAUAAUCAUUCCAACUAUUUUAUUUUUAAUUAUAUAUAUAAAAGGGUCAAUGUAUUUAAAAUUUUUUGACCAUACUAAUUAGAUUAGCGAUGAAGUAAAAUGUCUUGAAAAUAAUGUUAGGAAUUAAAGCGAUUAUAUUACUAUAAUUUAAAGGAAUAAAGUAAUAAUAACAAUAUAGUAAUGCUAUCAAAUAAAAGGGUAUUUUUAUCCAAAAUUUCUUAACAUGUUGAGUUGAAUUAUUUAUGGGGUGAAGUGACUAAAAGAUAACGUUAGGGGGUAAAUUGAUAGUAGUGAUAUAAUUGAUGGGGGUAAAGUGAUAAUAACCCAAACAAAAACUGUUCAUAUAUUUAUUCAAAAUCAAACUAUUUUAAUUGUAUUACCACGAUUUGUUUGUUAUGGCACAAAAAGAAAAAGGAAAAACCAGAAGAAGUAAUUAGAGGUAUCCAUAUUGUAUGUAAUAUUCAAAAUAUUGAUACUUUUAUCAAAUCCUUUAAUAUUUGGUCAAAAAAUUGUUUCAAACUGUUGAAUUUUUUUUUUUAAUUUCACUUGAAAGUCCAUUAUGGAUUUUACUUUUACUUCAAAAAGACAAAUUUGUACUCUAGUUUGUUAAUGAUUUUUGUAUUGGGGGGGGGGUGAAAGAAUGAAAUAACAAGUGUCCUAGAAUAAUAAAAAUAAAUAAGCUAACACAUUGACUCUAAUGCCCCUCUAGGUUUUAAUAUUAUAGUUUAAACCUUUUUUACCAUUUAUACAUUCUCUUUGGCUUAAGAAAAGUUUGAAGUCUCAAGUUUGCUACACAAUCUAAUUGUUUAGAAGGGGUUUCGCAAUUGUUCAGGAGUAGAAAUUUUUUCUUAAAUGACCAUGUUUGCAUGUGAAGGCUAAUCCAGUUCUAUCUUUUUGAGCUUUCAUUUGUUUAAUUAAUGUCUGUUGGCAAAUGUAGUUAGACAUUAGGACUUCGAGGUCGAAGUCUUUAAUUAAGACUCUUUUGUGUCUGUUAAUUUAAUAGUAAAUGAGGGGCAUGUUAGGCAUCACGAGAAAGGAAACAAACACAUUUAUAUUAUAUAGUUAUAGCAGAUAAUAUAUAAUAACCUGUUCAAUGACCCGAAUCCAUGAUCUUUGUACCUAACAGAAGCGUGAAUGAAAUUACACAACCUUCUCCUUGGACUUGCUGCAGCAUAACACUGGUUGCAGACUUUCUUGACUUGCUGGUUGUUUUUUUUUUUGGGAUAUAAAUCUAGUCUUUUUUUUUUUUUUUUUUGGAAUAGGAAUUCCAGAAGAUUGAAUAACUACUUUGAUUAGCAACUAGCAUCAUGCCACUUGAACGAAAACCAUGGUUGUGUAGGAUUUGGCUUUGGGGUUUUUUUGCUUGUCUUGUUAAUUCUACUACUUGGUUUGCUAUCGUCCCUAGUAUUUGAUAUUGGUUUGCCAUCGUCCCUAGUAUUUGAUUUGUAUGAUUAUUAUUAUGCUGCUUUGGGAUGGCCAGAAGCGUGUGGACCUGGCAGAAGCACGGCAGCCCCCCACUACCCUCCUCCACUACCCUGUGGACCUGGCAGAAGCGCGCAGCAGCCCCUCUCUUUUGCUGUGGACCUCUCUUUUGCUGGCAGCCCCCCUCUUUUCCUGGAUAAUGCUAGUUGUUUCCUUUAGUUUAGAUAGGAUUUCCAAAGGAUUGAAUAGUUUACUUUGACCUCGAAAAAUCUGCAACCAGUGUCAUGUUCCAGCUAAUAGAUCUAGCAAUAGAGACGCGCACAUUAUUUUCUCCUAUAAAUUGGAUAGCAUUUAGGAAGCAAAUGCAACUGCAAAUUGCGAUAACUAAGAUCAGUACAUGAUGGCUUUGUUUCGCCUUGUUCUCUUGCUAUUCCUCAGCAGCUGCACUGCAGUACUUGCAGAUGUUCUCAUUGAUAGUGGGGUUGUUAGCGUUUAUAGUUGCAGUGAAAAUUCAACAAUAGCAACCCCUCAAAUGUCAGCCAACAUCGAUAGCUUGGUGGCACAACUAACAUCAAGCACUUCUCAGAAUCGUUUCAGUGUUGCCACUUAUGGCAAAGGUACAGACCAAGUCUACGGCUUGGGACAAUGCAGAAGAGACGUGAAUAUUAAAGAUUGCGCGAGAUGCCUUCGUAAUGCAACACUAUCCAUUCGCACAUUUUGUGCAAACCGGGCUGAUGUCUGGAUGUGGUAUAAUGAUACCUGCACUCUAAGGUUUCACGACAGCAAAUUCUUUGGAACAGUUGAUCCAUCUAGCUUUACCAACUACUACCUAGGUGAUCAUCCGCAACAUCCCUCUGCUUUCAAGAAACAGCUAGAUGCUCUUAUAAGUAAGGUCAGUUCGGAGGCUAUUGUGCCUGCAAAUGAAGCGGUUGGCAAGGGAAGCAGUUUCAGUGUCGCAUCUAAUGCUACUAUUUAUGCCUUGGCCCAGUGCACCAGGGAUUUAUCCCAGCAUUCUUGCAAUGAGUGCCUGAACAUAGUCACUGGCAACUUACUCAAAUUCUGCAACAACGAGAAAACUGUAGGAUGUCGAGUUGCAUCUACCGCCUGCUAUUUUCAUUAUGAAACAUAUCAGUUUUACUAUCCUCUUGAUUCGUGAGAGCCCUUGUCAGUGUAACAAGAAAUAAAAUUCCUCCAGAGUUCACUAAACCUUGAACUAAAAGGUGAUGCCAAAGAGGAGUCAAAUCAAGAAAUUGUAUUCUGUACCUUGUUAAUCAUUUCUCUCUGUAUCUCUUACAUUUGAUUUACUACGUGUAAUUUACAUGUCUGCAAAUAAAUGGAGAGAUUACAUUAAGGUAAACACUAAUAAAGUACAUAAGAGUUUACAUUCAAAGAAACAAAUUUUUUUUUUAAAAUUAAUCUUUUAUACACUGACAUUGUAUACACUAUUAUUAUUGGAUGCAUGAUAAGUCAUAUGAAUUUAAAUUUAAAAUUCAAAUUUUACUCAUAAAUCAUGUAUCCAACCAUAAUCGUGUAUACACUAUCAGCAUAUAUAAGAUUUACUCUUUUUUUUAUUCUUUUGGGAGAAUUUGAAAGUUACAAAUUUCGUGAAUUUCUCGUUUGCCAUGUAUAAAGUCUCUCUUUAUUCUAUUUCUUUUUCAAAGCAAACCUAUAAAGUUUGGAUUAAUCUUUACUACACUGACCGUAUAUACACUGUCAGGAUUGGAUGAAUGAUAAUCAUACGAAAUUUGAAUUUGAAAUUCAAUUUUUAUACACAUAUUAUGAAUUAAAUAAUAAUAAUGUAUACAUUAUCAGUAUAUAUAAGAUUUACUCGUAAAGUUUACUCUCAACGAGAGGUCAUUCAGAGGCUUCGAAAGUACAAAGACAAAGAAAAUCUGAUUCAUGUGGAACAAGCCUAGUGUCUAAAUUGGGGUUGUACCUGAUAUUUGUCCAAUCUGUUGUGGCCUAUAUUAAUCCAAAGUAAGUCCAAAAGUAUGGUGGAUCGGAGGCUUUCAUCUAGCCUAUUUUUAAGGCCCAUCUGGCGUGUGCUGUGUGGAAUUUCACCGCUAUAUAUAUUUUUUGCAGGCAAAUACACGGGAAAAAUGGAAAUGAACCUCAUUUUUUUUUUAAAUCUGGUGUUUUGCAGUGCUUGGGACGAAUCUUGUAUACCUUGCAAAAUUUCGCAAGAAAUGAUUAAUCAUGUUUUUCAUCCGAUGUUUUGAAAUGAUUAAGCGUCCUAUGCCCCAGAAGAUAGAUUGUUACGAGCCAUACUUGACAUUCAGGUAUCUACUUCAAAAUCUUAUAAACUCUAGAAGGGAAGGAAAUGUAAGUAAAAGGCUUUGGAUUCGAGUUCUCCAAUUUAUAUAUAUAAAAAAAUUAAAAAAUUCAAGUAAAAAAGAAUAAAUCUUAUAAACUCUACGGCCUCAAACGUUAUUUUGCUUCUCAAAAUUUUCUCUCUCCUCUUCUCUGACUAAAAUUUAAAAAUUUCUCCUAAUGUCCUCGUAACAAUAUAAUCUCCCUUUGCACCUGUGCUUGCCAUCUUUUCAUGGUUAGUGUCUUGGCAAACUAUUCUGUUCUCUGCAUAGUCCAUGAUUUGGAUCAGCAUUAUCAGAUUUUUUUUUCUUUUUUGGGGUCGAUAUCUUUGUGUUGCAUUGAUCUGGGUUCUUGAAUUCUAGUGUGUGGCCUUUCCCUGUAAUCAACUAUGUGAUUCUUGUUAACUAAAUACUUGAUUUGGGUGAAUGUAGGUUGGUGGGAUGUACAAAGAAAAAUAUAAAUGGCUUACAAGGGGGCUUAUCAGUAUGAUUCCUUUAGGGGGUGUUUGGUAAAUAGGUUUUAACCUCUACUAUGGGUUUCAAAUUCAAUUAUACCCAUUCAUCAUGUUUGCUUGGGGCCAAUGGUAAUAAAUCAAUGGGAAUAAUAGGCCUCUUCUAUGGGUUUCCUGAUUAACCACUUCUCACUAGGGAAUCAUCUUAAUUACCCAUUUUACUCUCUCUAAAGGUAAAAAUACUCAUCUUAUAAUACCACCGCUUGUGCUAGUUUCAACAAAUGAAAAAAAAAGAAAAGAAAAGAAAAAAAGAAAUAAUGAAAAAGAAAAAUUAUAAAUUAUAAAAUCCAUUCCACAUUAACAACACACACUAUGAAAGAGUUUUCAUCAAAAUCCAUUAUCAUGGAUCACGAUACCGACAGUGAUAAUGAUUGUGAAAUUUGAAUCAAAUGGCUCCUUAAUUAAAAUUGUGUUGGUCGGAGAUUCUUGGUGUUGGAAAAUCAAAUAUACCUUCUAGGUUUAUGUGAAAAUUUUUACGGAAAAAAUUGGUAACUGGAAUAGGGAGGUUUUUGGUAAUAUUCUUAGAAGGAAGAAAAGAUGUCAGGCUAGAAUUAAUGGUAUCCAGAGGAGCCUUUCUCGACAGCCAUCUACUCACCUGCUAGUACUGGAAAAGAAGUUAAUUGCAGAGUAUAAUACUAUCCUGGAGCAAGAAGAGAUUAUGUGGCACCAAAGGACGAAGGUGGAAUGGUUGAAAUAUGGGGAUGGAAACACAAAAUUUUUCCACUUGUCAACUACUAUUCGAAGACGAAAGAACACAAUCCACAGUCUGAGGGAUAAACAAGGAAGGUGGCAGGAGGAUCCCGACACGGUGAGAGGUAUCGUGGUCGAUUUCUUCAAGGAGCUGUAUAGUGAUGGAGACCAACUUAGAAUGGUCAAUCAGUUUCACUGUUUUGCAACCCUGUCAACUAGAGAAGGGGGACGGCUGACCAGAUCAGUGGAUGCAGAGGAGAUAAAAAGGGCGUUGUUCGAGAUAAAGGGGGAUAAGUCACCAGGCCCAGAUGGGAUACCCGCGAGCUUCUACCAAAGAUGCUGGAACCAGGUGAGUGGCUCCUUUGUUAAAUGCAUUCAACAAGUCUUUAGAGAAAAACACCUCCCGCCAGGCAUGAACACUACUUACAUUGCCUUAAUACCUAAGGUGCAAAACCCUGAUACGGUAGCAAAGUUGAGACCAAUAUCCUUGCGUAAUGUAUGCUACAAGGUAAUUACCAAGAUUAUAGUGAAUCGCCUGCGACCUAUGCUGAAAGAUCUAGUUGGCCCUAAUUAGGUGAGUUUUUGUCCUGGAAGGUUUACAUCUGAUAACAUUAUAAUCAUCCAGGAAAUGAUCCAUACAAUGAGGAGGAAAAAAGGAAAAAAAGGUUAUGUGGCUAUCAAGGUGGACCUGGAAAAAGCAUAUGAUCGGGUGAGAUGGGAUUUCUUGCAGCAAACCCUGGAAUUUGUGGGAAUUCCCCAAGAUCUGGUGAUUCUUAUCAUGAAUUGUGUACGGGCGGAAAGCAUGGAAAUUCUUUGGAAUGGAAGAAGAUCAGAACCAUUCACUCCACAGCGAGGGAUUAGGCAAGGGGACCCCAUUUCCCCUUACUUAUUUAUCUUAUGUAUGGAAAGAUUGAGUCAUCUGAUAAAUAAAGCAGCAGGUGAGAGGAGAUGGAAAGGAAUGAAGGCAUCAAGAUCAGGACCACUUAUUACACAUCUCAUGUUUGCGGAUGACCUUUUCCUCUUCGCCGAAGCAAGUGUAGAACAAGCACGGGAAGUGGGGAAGAUUUUGGAGGAGUUCUGUAUGCUAUCGGGACAGAAAGUGAAUGUAAGCAAAUCUAAACUGUUUGCAUCUUCAAAUGUCCCAAGACAAGUGGUAAGGGAAAUGUGCAGGCUGACAGGAGUUAAAGAGACACAAGACUUGGGGAAGUAUUUAGGCAUGCCUAUUCUGCACACAAAGGUGAAUAAGGCUACUUACACAGAAUUGCUGGAUAAGGUGAGAAGUAGAUUGGCAGGAUGGCAAAGCAAGCAACUGUCCUUUGUAGGCCGAGCAACUCUGAUCAAGUCAGUGCUUACAACAGUUCCAAAUUACUCCAUGCAAACGAGCUUGCUCCCUUGCUCAGUGGUGGAGGAGAUAGAGAAGAUAGCUAGGGGCUUCCUCUGGGGGGACAGCUCGACUGAGAGGAAACUUCACCAUGUAGGGUGGGGGGAGGUGUCGCAACCAAAAGGAAGAGGUGGACUAGGGAUUCGGAGACUGAGUAGAGUGAAUAAAGCAUUAUUAGCAAAAGCAAGCUGGAGGUUAAUGGACAGUGAUGAGGCUUUGUGGAAGCAAGUUUUGAGAGAGAAAUAUUGUGGAAGACAAGGAGAACUAUUCUUGAAAAAGGUUGGCGAUUCACACACGUGGAAGAGUAUUUGCGAAGGAAGUAAGGUUAUAGCUAGAGGAAGGAAGUGGAGAAUCGGAAAUGGCAAGUCUGCUCUGUUCUGGACAGAUAGGUGGCUGAUAGAUGCACCUCUAGUUGAAGAAGCCGAAGGGGAAUUGAACCCUGAGAUUUUGCAACGGAAGGUUGGGGAGUACUGGAGGGCAGGAGAGGGAUGGAAAUGGGAUGAAUUGGAAGGAGUAUUAACACUGGAUACGCUAGCUAAACUCAAAGGAUAUUGUGUAGUGCACGGGGAGGAUAACCCAGAUGUAAUGAGUUGGAGCCCAGGAGUAAGAGGGGAGUUUAUGACCGCUUCAGCUUAUGAAAUUCUUUUAGAAGAGGAACAAUUGGGGCCAAAAGCUAAAGCAUGGGAGAGGAUUUGGAAACAGAGAGGUCCUGAGAGGUGGCAAUUUCUGUUGUGGAUGGUCCGACAUGGCAAGUUACUUACGCAAAAAGAGAAGAAGAGAAGGCCCUUGGCUUUGGAGGACAAAUGCCCGAUAUGUAGAGAGCACGCUGAAACCGCACUCCAUGCACUCAGAGAUUGCGCCUGGAUUAAGUCUAUUUGGAGAAGCUUGGUGUUCCCACAUUUUUUGGAGGAAUUUUUUAGUAAAAGUAUGAUAGAUUGGAUUGAUUGGAACCUAACGCAAGAUGGCAUAGGAGCUGGGGGGAGAAUGGUGUGGCAACUAAUUUUCCAAAUAAUGACGUACCAUGCAUGGAGGGCUAGAAACAGAUUUGCUAUUAAAGGCGAGAAUGACUUCCUUAAGAUGUCCCCAAUAGCCUUGAGGCAGUUGGUAGAGCAAGUGAGGCAGCUCCUCGUCAAUGGGAGAGGCAGAAGCCCUAAGGAAGAGUGUUUUAUAAGAUGGAUCCCACCAUGGGAGGGAGUGAUCAAAGUUAAUGUCGCUGGUGCAUCAGAAAGGAAUCCCGGAAGAGCUGGAGUUGGUGGGCUCAUUCGGGAUACGACAGGAAUAUGGUUAGGAGGGUUUGCAGAGAGUAUAGGGAAAGCAAGUAACAUAGCGGUUGAGCUAUGGGGAAUUCUUAAAGGACUGCAGCUGGCUUGGGAUAAAGGAUACAAAGAAGUAAUUUUAGAGUCGGACUCAAAAGUGGGUUUGGAGUUAAUAGAGGAGGUAGUGAUCACAUCGCCUUACCACAAUCUGGUGAAACAGAUUAGGAGCAUGAUGAGCAGAGAUUGGUCUUGCAAGCUGCAACAUAUCUGGAGGGAAGGAAAUUGAUGUGCAGACUGGCUAGCCAAGGAAGCAAUCCAUUUACAGUCAACAGGCGGAAGAUUAGAAGAGCCACCGGAAGGACUAAGGGAGUUACUAGGAGCAGAUAUGAUUGGGGUCACAACCCCACGUUUAAUACCAUGUUAGAAGGCAGUGGCCUCUCCUUUGUAUUAAAAAAAAAAAUGAGUUCUGUUUGGAAUCUAAAUCCACGAUUGGCGUUGAAUUUGCCAUGAGAACUCUUUAGGUUAGCUUUGAUCUCAAUUAAUACAUGACAAACCAACUAUAUUUAGAGUAGCAUAUAUAUUGAUCCUAAUGCCCCUCUAGUUUUGAUAUUAUAGUUUAAAUCUUUGUAAGUAUAAAUAAACUCUUUUGCUACUUCCAAAAUAAGACACUCCUAUUUAAUCUGUCUUUUUGCAUUCCAUCUUUAUAGUUUUUGUUUCAUUUAAAAUUCUUGAUUAGUCAUAAUCUAAUCUAAUUUCUAAAUCAUCCAAGAUAGUACUAUUGAUACUAAAAUAAAGUGCUCUUAAAACAAUGGAGUCUUUGUUGUUUGUGCUUUGUGUUAUAUUCUAUCCAAAAAUAAAAGAGAAAGGAGAAAGUCAAUUAUCUCUAACAAUGAGUUUUCAAAUAAAAAAUUGAAUAGUUAUGCGAAAAAAAUUCAUAUGUGGUGAAUCAUUUACAUUGCAUUAUUACUAAAAAUAACACACAAAAGAAUACAAAUAGUUGAACUUGAAAGAUUAUACAUCUUUUUUAUUUUUGAAAUGAUGUGUACAUAACUUAUAUUAAGGAAUUUCAUUAAGACACUAACAAAUUCAACUCACUUAACUUGAAAAAUAAUAAUGACAGAACAUGCAAAUUAAAUUUUAUUUAUUGUGAGUUUAGGUUAUCCAACUCUAAAGGUAAAAUAAAAAGGGUUAUUAUCACUUCACCCCCUUAACGUUUGAUGUCACUAUCAAUUUCCCCCUUAAUGUUAUUUUUUAGUCACUUUACCUUCAAAACUAACGGUCAAACUUAACGGAGUCUGUUAAUUAAAGCAAUAAGACAAGUUUAGCCCUAAAAGUUAUUAUCACUUUACCCCCAUAAACUAUGGUCUCACUAUUAAUUUACCCCAUAGAGUUAUUUUUUAGACAAUUUAUCCCACCUAGGGGUGAGCAAAUUUGGUAAGAACCGAAUUUAUACCCAAUUUCAAAUUCAAUUUCGUAAUUUGAUACAAAAGCGGUAUUUACCAAAUUCACCGAAUUCUAAUAUGGUAUGAAAUAGGUAAUGAGAUUAUUAAUUUGGUAAUAACCGAUUUCAAAUUCAAAUUAGUUUAUAAAUUUAUAUAUUAUGUAGAUAAAUACUAUAUACUAUUAAUACAUAGGUAAGUCUAUUAAUAAUAGAUAGUACAUAGUAUUAUCAUGUACUUAUAUUAAUAAAAAUAUAUAAUGAUGUAAAAUAUCCUAUUUUAGUAUUUGUUAUAUGAUUAUAAUAAUACAAAUAUACAAUAAUACAUAACUAUAAUACUUAUCCUUUUAUACAUAACUAGAAUUAGAUAAUAAGUAUAAAUAUUGUACUAAACAUUAAACAUAAUUAGUAAUUAGAAUUUAGACAUUAGUUCAUCAUUCAUGUUUGGAUUAUUAAAUAUUUGAAUGUGUAUUGUUUAACUUGCAAGUAUUAGUAUACUCUAAAUUUACAUUACAUAUAUAAUGUGUGAAUUUAUAUUCUUUAAUCACUAAUCUUGUUUAAAUGAAGACAACAAAAUAGUAUGAUUAAGCAGUCUAAAUAAAUGUAUAUGAAUUGCAUGCCAACAUAUUAGUAUAUUAGCAUUCACCUCUGAAAGCAAUCAAGUUAUUUGCAAAUUAAGCAUUUAAAUUAUAUAAAAAAUAAAAAUAAAUGUAAGUGUAGUGCAAUACAUAAUUAGUAAAUUAUAAGUGAAUAAGUAUAUACAACUACACAAGUGAGUCCUAUUUAAUCAUGUGAAAAUUACUAUCCAAUUCGGUUAUAACCGAUUUCAUGACCGUUUCCAAAUUCAAUUCAGUAACUGAAUGAAUUCGGUUAUUUUCAAUUCGAAAUUGAAAACGGUGUAGAGUUUUACAAGUAAAAUAACAGAAAAAACCGAAUUCAAUUAAUCGAAUUACCGAAUAUGCACCGAAUGCACACCCCUAAUCCCACCAUUAAACCAACUUAGCAAGUUAAAAAACUUUAGAGAAAGUACUCUCCUCUUUGUAUAAUAAAAAAAAUAAAAAAUUUAAAGUGUGUCUUUUCAUAUUUAGUAUCAAGAAAAAAAAAAUCAAAGUAUUAAUCUCUUUCUUCUUGGCAAUCUUAUUAAUAUUAAAACAAAUAGAAAGAUUGGGAGGGUGAGGGAGAGAGGGAGAGAAACAUAGAGAGAGAGAGAGCUCAAUUUUUUUAAUAAAAAAUACAAAUAAGAAAGAAAGAAAUACUUUUAUUAUUUUAAAAUUAUUUUACUUUAAUGUUUACCACCAGAUUUCAAUCCUAAUCCCAACAACCUUAAAUUAAUACGAUAAUGUUAGACUUUUCUUUAUUAUUUUCUUUGCAAAAUCUAGUUUUCUGUCUCCUUCUUUCCUAUCACUUUUUCUUUUUCUAAUAUUAAUAAGUGUGAAAAAAGAAAUUUGAGAAAAUUCAUUUAUUUUUAUAUUUUUUGAUCUCUUAAAGUGAAAAAAAAGAAGAAUAAUCAUUCCAACUAUUUUAUUUUUAAUUAUAUAUAUAAAAGGGUCAAUGUAUUUAAAAUUUUUUGACCAUACUAAUUAGAUUAGCGAUGAAGUAAAAUGUCUUGAAAAUAAUGUUAGGAAUUAAAGCGAUUAUAUUACUAUAAUUUAAAGGAAUAAAGUAAUAAUAACAAUAUAGUAAUGCUAUCAAAUAAAAGGGUAUUUUUAUCCAAAAUUUCUUAACAUGUUGAGUUGAAUUAUUUAUGGGGUGAAGUGACUAAAAGAUAACGUUAGGGGGUAAAUUGAUAGUAGUGAUAUAAUUGAUGGGGGUAAAGUGAUAAUAACCCAAACAAAAACUGUUCAUAUAUUUAUUCAAAAUCAAACUAUUUUAAUUGUAUUACCACGAUUUGUUUGUUAUGGCACAAAAAGAAAAAGGAAAAACCAGAAGAAGUAAUUAGAGGUAUCCAUAUUGUAUGUAAUAUUCAAAAUAUUGAUACUUUUAUCAAAUCCUUUAAUAUUUGGUCAAAAAAUUGUUUCAAACUGUUGAAUUUUUUUUUUUAAUUUCACUUGAAAGUCCAUUAUGGAUUUUACUUUUACUUCAAAAAGACAAAUUUGUACUCUAGUUUGUUAAUGAUUUUUGUAUUGGGGGGGGGGUGAAAGAAUGAAAUAACAAGUGUCCUAGAAUAAUAAAAAUAAAUAAGCUAACACAUUGACUCUAAUGCCCCUCUAGGUUUUAAUAUUAUAGUUUAAACCUUUUUUACCAUUUAUACAUUCUCUUUGGCUUAAGAAAAGUUUGAAGUCUCAAGUUUGCUACACAAUCUAAUUGUUUAGAAGGGGUUUCGCAAUUGUUCAGGAGUAGAAAUUUUUUCUUAAAUGACCAUGUUUGCAUGUGAAGGCUAAUCCAGUUCUAUCUUUUUGAGCUUUCAUUUGUUUAAUUAAUGUCUGUUGGCAAAUGUAGUUAGACAUUAGGACUUCGAGGUCGAAGUCUUUAAUUAAGACUCUUUUGUGUCUGUUAAUUUAAUAGUAAAUGAGGGGCAUGUUAGGCAUCACGAGAAAGGAAACAAACACAUUUAUAUUAUAUAGUUAUAGCAGAUAAUAUAUAAUAACCUGUUCAAUGACCCGAAUCCAUGAUCUUUGUACCUAACAGAAGCGUGAAUGAAAUUACACAACCUUCUCCUUGGACUUGCUGCAGCAUAACACUGGUUGCAGACUUUCUUGACUUGCUGGUUGUUUUUUUUUUUGGGAUAUAAAUCUAGUCUUUUUUUUUUUUUUUUUUGGAAUAGGAUUUCCAGAAGAUUGAAUAACUACUUUGAUUAGCAACUAGUAUCAUGCCAUUUGAACGAAAACCAUGGUUGUGUAGGAUUUGGCUUUGGGGUUUUUUUGCUUGUCUUGUUAAUUCUACUACUUGGUUUGCUAUCGUCCCUAGUAUUUGAUAUUGGUUUGCCAUCGUCCCUAGUAAUUGAUUUGUAUGAUUAUUAUUAUGCUGCUUUGGGAUGGCCAGAAGCGUGUGGACCUGGCAGAAGCACGGCAGCCCCCCACUACCCUCCUCCACUACCCUGUGGACCUGGCAGAAGCGCGCAGCAGCCCCUCUCUUUUGCUGUGGACCUCUCUUUUGCUGGCAGCCCCCCUCUUUUCCUGGAUAAUGCUAGUUGUUUCCUUUAGUUUAGAUAGGAUUUCCAAAGGAUUGAAUAGUUUACUUUGACCUCGAAAAAUCUGCAACCAGUGUCAUGUUCCAGCUAAUAGAUCUAGCAAUAGGGACGCGCACAUUAUUUUCUCCUAUAAAUUGGAUAGCAUUUAGGAAGCAAAUGCAACUGCAAAUCGCUGAUAACUAAGAUCAGUACAUGAUGGCUUUGUUUCGCCUUGUUCUCUUGCUAUUCCUCGGCAGCUGCGCUGCAGUACUCGCAGAUUUCCUCUUUGAUAGUGGGGUUGUUAGCGUUUAUAGAUGCAGUGAAAAUUCAACAAUAGCAACCCCUCAAAUGUCAGCAAACAUCGAUAGCUUGGUGGCUCAACUAACAUCAAGCACUUCUCGGACUCGUUUCAGUGCUGCCACUUAUGGCAAAGGUACAGACCAAGUCUACGGCUUGGGACAAUGCAGGAGAGACGUGAAUAUUAAAGAUUGCGCAAGAUGCCUUCGUAAUGCAACACAAUCCAUUCGAACAUUUUGUCAAAACCGGGCUGAUGUCUGGAUGUGGUAUAAUGAUACCUGCUUUCUAAGGUUUGACGACAGCAAAUUCUUUGGAACAGUUGAUCCAUCUAGCUUUGACAACUUAUACACCUCUGAUCAUCCACAACAUCCGUCUGCUUUC